rnacentral:rRNA from 1 species
GACGAACGCUGGCGGCGUGCUUAACACAUGCAAGUCGAGCGGUAAGGCCCUUUCGGGGAUACACGAGCGGCGAACGGGUGAGUAACACGUGGGUGACCUGCCCUCAGCUCUGGGAUAAGCCUGGGAAACUGGGUCUAAUACUGGAUAUGACUCCACGGUGCAUGUCGUGGGGUGGAAAGCCUUGUGCGGCUGAGGAUGGGCCCGCGGCCUAUCAGCUUGUUGGGGGGUGAUGGCCUACCAAGGCGACGACGGGUAGCCGGCCUGAGAGGGCGACCGGCCACACUGGGACUGAGACACGGCCCAGACUCCUACGGGAGGCAGCAGUGGGGAAUCUUGCGCAAUGGGCGAAAGCCUGACGCAGCGACGCCGCGUGAGGGAUGACGGCCUGGU